AACGAACGCUGGCGGCGUGGAUAAGACAUGCAAGUCGAACGGGGUGCCUGUAGCAAUAUGGGCAUUCAGUGGCGGACGGGUGCGUAACACGUGGGCAAUUUGCCCGGAAGAGGGGGAUAGCCCGCCGAAAGGCGGAUUAAUACCGCAUGUGACCCUGGGGAGCAUUUCCUGGGAGUUAAAGGAGUGAUCCGCUUCCGGAUGAGCCCGCGGCCUAUCAGCUAGUUGGUGAGGUAACGGCUUACCAAGGCUACGACGGGUAGCUGGUCUUAGAGGACGACCAGCCACACUGGAACUGAGACACGGUCCAGAUACCUACGGGUGGCAGCAGUCGAGAAUCUUUCACAAUGGGGGAAACCCUGAUGGAGCGACGCCGCGUGGAGGAUGAAGGUCUUCGGAUUGUAAACUCCUGUCAUGAGGGAACAAAGCCCGCGAGGGUGUAGAUAGUACUUCAAGAGGAAGGGACGGCGU
rnacentral:rRNA from 1 species